rnacentral:rRNA from 1 species
UGGGCGUAAAGGAUGAGAAGGCGGAGAUAAAAGUUCUACCUUAAAUCUUAACGCCCAACGGUUAAGCAGGGUAAAAUACUUUAUCUCUAGAAGAUACCAGAAGCUAACGGAACGUACGGUGUAGGGGUGAAAUCCGUUGAUAUCGUACGGAACGCCGAAGGCGAAGGCAGUUAGCUAUGGUAUUCUUGACGCUGAUCCAUGAAAGCUAGGGGCGCAAACCGGAUUAGAUACCCGGGUAGUCCUAGCUGUAAACUAUGGAUGCUAACUCUGGCGAGUUCGACCCUCGCUGGGGUAAAGCUAACGCGUUAAGCAUCCCGCCUGGGGAGUACGUUCGCAAGAACGAAACUCAAAGGAAUAGGCGGAAGGCUGCACAAGCAGUGGUCCAUGUUGCUUAAUUCGAGAUGAACGAAAAAUCUUACCCAGGCUUGCAUCCAACCUAACUCGUCUGAAAAGACGGGUGAGCCUACUUUGAGGUUGGACAGGUGCUGCAUGGCCGUCGUCAGCUCGUGGUGUGAGUUGUAACCUUAAGUGGCACAACGAGCGCAACCCCUAUCCUAUGUUACACGUGUCAUAGGAGACUGCCAACCACAAGUUGGAGGAAGGUGGGGAUGACGUCAGGUCCGCAUGGCCCUUAUGCCCAGGGCAACACACAUGGUACAAUGCUGAAGACAACGGGAAGCGAAACCGCAAGGUGGAGCAAAUCCCUUAAACUUCAGCUCAGUUCGGAUUGAGGACUGAAACUCGUCCUCAUGAAGCCGGAAUCGCUAGUAAUCG